ensembl:snRNA U6 U6 spliceosomal RNA
GUGCUCGCUUCUGCAGCACAUAUACUAAAUUUGGAACGAUAUAGAGAAGAUUAACACGGCCCCUGUGCAAGGACGACACACAAAUUCAAGAAGCCAUCCAUAUUUUU